rnacentral:rRNA from 1 species
CUCCGUGUUGUAGCUAACGCGUUAGCACUCCGCCUGGGGACUACGGUCGCAAGACUAAAACUCAAAGGAAUUGACGGGGACCCGCACAAGCGGUGGAGCAUGUGGUUUAAUUCGAUGCAACGCGAAAAACCUUACCACUCCUUGACAUGGAGAUUAGAUCCUUCUUAACGGAAGGGCGCAGUUCGGCUGGAUCUCGCACAGGUGCUGCAUGGCUGUCGUCAGCUCGUGUCGUGAGAUGUUGGGUUAAGUCCCGCAACGAGCGUAACCCUCAUCCUUAGUUGCCAGCGGGUAAUGCCGGGCACUUUAAGGAAACUGCCGGUGGUAAACUGGAGGAAGGUGGGGAUGAUGUCAAGUCAGCACGGCCCUUAUGGGGUGGGCUACACACGUGCUACAAUGGUGACUACAAUAGGUUGCAAUGUCGCAAGGCUGAGCUAAUCCGUAAAAGUCAUCUCAGUUCGGAUUGUCCUCUGCAACUCGAGGGCAUGAAGUCGGAAUCGCUAGUAAUCGUGGAUCAGCAUGCCACGGUGAAUACGUUCUCGGGUCUUGUACACACUGCCCGUCACGCCAUGGGAAUUGGCUUAACUCGAAGCUGGUGCGC